rnacentral:lncRNA from 1 species
UCCUUGCAGGGCCUCUCCUGGGGCAGUGUUAACCAGACUCAAUGUGCUACUACCGUUGGUGGCAUUUAGUUCCGAUGCUUCUCCCUUGGGCCUUGUCCUCAAAGUCCUGGACCCAGCCUGUGGCCCUGGAGGAAGCUUAUCUUUGUUUGACCUUUUAUCUGAACAACCAUGGGGAUUUCCAGUUUCCAGUUUGGGAUUCUAGUGUACGUCUGUGCAGUGCAUCAUGGACUGACUUCACCCCCUCGAGCAUUACUUUAAAUGUUUAGAGAUAAACUUUGUCAUCUGUGCAUCACUGUGACAGCUACGAAACUAGAAAAGAGAACAUUGAGGCUAUUUUGGGUAGCAUUUUUUUUUUUCAAUUCAAAUAAUCUUGAGUUCCUUAAGACUUACCAGCACUUUUUGGCCAUCUGGUCAGAUUCGUUUGCCACUGGAAAAGCAUUUUACUGUUAGAAUGUUGGGUCCAGGAAUGUCCUCAAUGGGAGCAGCAUGACUUAGAAUGGAAUCUUUGCCUAUUACUCAGACUUGCAACUUGAAUCUCCCAGGAGAAGCUGCUGAUUUUGGUGCUGGAAAAUAUCCUACGAGGACUAUUCUAAGUUAUAUCUCAAGCUGCUUUCCGAACUAAGGAUGCUCUUAUCAGCUUCUGGAACUUUAAGCAAGAGGCCUACUAGGCACAAGCCUUGAUGUUUCAUGAAGAAAUUAUCUUCCUAUUUAUCUUUAAAAGAAUUCAUUUCUAUUUUGAGGGUAAUCCAAGAUAAAAAGGGGCGAUGAGAUGUAGAGAGUGACGGAAGCAAGAGAUGGGAGAAGGAGAUGGGAGCUUGGAGAAGACGUUAGGGAGUGAUAAAGUCACCUGGAUGGAAAUGCAUCUUCUCAGGCUUGGAGCUUCCAGAGUGGGAGAACUCUGUAUUUCUGUGUUUUUGGGAUAUCUCAGUGCCUGGCUCAUGGGAGGACCUCAGGAAUGGAUGGGGGGAUCAAUAGCAACCUGGGGGGUGAGUUUCAGGCAGGAUUCACCCUGGCAAAAUAGCAGUGCCUGGCACACAGAAGACACCAAGCUUGUUAAAUAGCUGAAGAGGAGCUGUCACCUUCAGCCCCAUGCCAUAGCUCGGAUGCAGGCCAUCGUUGGAAGAGGUCCUAAUGACAUCAGAAAGGCGCUGGCAGCCAUAAAUACCCUGAGGUGUUUGGCACCGUACAAAGUGCUUGGGUUUUGGGUUCUGUGGAAGGUUGUUUCUAAAGAUGGUGGCCAAAAUCCUGGCAAGUCCUUAUGCCCUUUUGAAAUGUGGCUUUGUCUCUCCUCUCAUCCUGAGGUGGAGUCCACCGCCUCUCCCGUGGAGUCUGGGAUGGCCCUUUGACCUGCUUUGACCAACAGAAGUAGAAGAAGCAAUGCUAUUUUACAUCCAAAUGUAGGCUUUAGUCUACCUUGUGGUUUCCAUUUUCACUCUUUGGGAGUCCUGAGCCACCACAAAAGGAAGUCCCUCUAUCCUUCUGGAGAAAGCACGUGAAGAAGGAGAGACCCCGGAGAGGGAAACUUGGUGAGAGAAGAGAGGCCUUGGAGGGGGAAAGACCACGGGGCGAGAGGCCCCACUGAGGGGCAGACACAUGAGUGAGGCCUUCUUGGAUCUUCCAGACAAAAGCACAACCUCCUCGGAGAAGCCAGUCAAUACCCUGUGGAGCAGAGAUGAGCACCCCGGCUGAGCCCUGCCCAGCCAACCCACAGGAUUAUGGGCAAUAAAGUAGUUUUUGUUUUAAGCCA